rnacentral:rRNA from 1 species
AACGAACGCUGGCGGCGUGCCUAACACAUGCAAGUCGAACGGAAAGGCCCUGCGUUUGUGCGCUGCUGGGGUGGCGAAGGGGGGAGUAACACGUGAGUAACCUGCUCUUCACUUUGGGAUAACUUAAGGAAGGUGAGGCUAAUACCGGAUAGGAUCUGCCGCUGCAGGGUGGGCGUUGGAUAGUUUCGGCGGUUGGGGAUGGACUAGCGGCUGAUGGGCUUGCUGGUGGGGUAGGGGCUUACCAAGGCUUUGAACGGUAGCCGGCCUGGGAGGGUGACCGGCCACAAUGGGACUGCGAGACGGCCCAGACUCGUACGGGAGGCAGCGGUGGGGAGUAUUGCACAGUGGGCGGGAGCCUGAUGCGACAACGCCGCGUGCGGGAAGACGGCCUUCGGGUUGUGAACCGCUGUCGCCUGUGACGAAGCGUGAGUGACGGUAAUGGGUGAAGAAGCACCGGCUAACUACGUG